AACGUCGGGUGCAAGCGUUGACCGGAUUUAUUGGGCGUAAAGAGUUCGUAGGCUGUUUGUUAAGUCUGGUGUUAAAGACUGAGGCCCAACCUCGGAAAUGCAUCGGAUACUGGCAGACUUGAGUACGGUAGAGGCGAGUGGAAGUCCCAGUGUGGCGGUGAAAUGCGUAGAUAUUGGGAAGAACACCGGUUGCGCAGGCGACUCGCUGGACCUCAACUGACGCUGAGGAACGAAAGCCAGGGGAGCGAAUGGG
rnacentral:rRNA from 1 species